rnacentral:rRNA from 1 species
ACGGGUGAGUAACGCGUGGGAAUCUACCGUACCCUACGGAAUAGCUCUGGGAAACUGGAAGUAAUACCGUAUACGCCCGAAAGGGGAAAGAUUUAUCGGGGUAUGAUGAGCCCGCGUUGGAUUAGCUAGUUGGUGGGGUAAAGGCCUACCAAGGCGACGAUCCAUAGCUGGUCUGAGAGGAUGAUCAGCCACAUUGGGACUGAGACACGGCCCAAACUCCUACGGGAGGCAGCAGUGGGGAAUAUUGGACAAUGGGGGCAACCCUGAUCCAGCCAUGCCGCGUGAGUGAUGAAGGUCUUAGGAUUGUAAAGCUCUUUCAACGGUGAAGAUAAUGACGGUAACCGUAGAAGAAGCCCCGGCUAACUUCGUGCCAGCAGCCGCGGUAAUACGAAGGGGGCUAGCGUUGUUCGGAAUUACUGGGCGUAAAGCGCACGUAGGCGGGUAUUUAAGUCAGGGGUGAAAUCCCGCAGCUCAACUGCGGAACUGCCUUUGAUACUGGGUAUCUUGAGUAUGGAAGAGGUAAGUGGAAUUGCGAGUGUAGAGGUGAAAUUCGUAGA